rnacentral:rRNA from 1 species
AAUAGAUACCCUGGUAGUCCACGCCGUAAACGAUGAGUGCUAAGUGUUGGGGGGUUUCCGCCCCUCAGUGCUGCAGCUAACGCAUUAAGCACUCCGCCUGGGGAGUACGGUCGCAAGACUGAAACUCAAAGGAAUUGACGGGGGCCCGCACAGGCGGUGGAGCAUGUGGUUUAAUUCGAAGCAACGCGAAGAACCUUACCAGGUCUUGACAUCCCGGUGACCACUAUGGAGACAUAGUUUCCCCUUCGGGGGCAACGGUGACAGGUGGUGCAUGGCUGUCGUCAGCUCGUGUCGUGAGAUGUUGGGUUAAGUCCCGCAACGAGCGCAACCCUUAUUCUUAGUUGCCAUCAUUCAGUUGGGCACUCUAAGGAGACUGCCGGUGAUAAACCGGAGGAAGUGGGGAUGACGUCAAAUCAUCAUGCCCCUUAUGACCUGGGCUACACACGUGCUACAAUGGACGGUACAAACGGUUGCCAACCCGGCAGGGGGAGCUAAUCCGAUAAAACCGUUCUCAGUUCGGAUUGUAGGCUGCAACUCGCCUAC